rnacentral:tRNA from 1 species
GCCUUCGUGGUGUAGUGGUCAGCACGCUCGACGCGUAACCGAGAGGUCCGUGGUUCGAUUCCCGGCGAAGGCC